ACUCAAAUGAAUAGACGGGGACCCGCACAAGCAGAGGAGCAUGUGGUUUAAUUCGAAGCAACGCGAAAAACCUUACCAGGUCUUGACAUCCCAUGCAUAGCCGCGAAAUCGGUGAAUUUCCCGCAAGGGAACAUGGAGACAGGUGUUGCAUGGUUGUCGUCAGCUCGUGUCGUGAGAUGUUCGGUUAAGUCCGAUAACGAGCGCAACCCUUGUCGUCAGUUGCCAGCAUUCAGUUGGGCACUCUGGCGAGACUGCCGCGGAUAACGCGGAGGAAGGCGGGGAUGACGUCAAAUCAUCAUGGCCCUUACGGCCUGGGCUACACACGUGCUACAAUGGUGACUACAAAGUGACCCGAUAUGGUAACAUGGAGGAAAUCACAAAAAAGUCAUCUCAAUUCGGAUUGUGGGCUGCAACUCGCCCACAUGAAGUUGGAUUUGCUAGUAAUCCCGAAUCAGCAUGUCGGGGUGAAUGCGUUCCCGGGUCUUGCACACACCGCCCGU
rnacentral:rRNA from 1 species